CAGGUUGUGUUCUAAGUUUGCUGACCACCAAUUUUUUGCCAUAUAUGUUCCACCAAAUCUGACUGGAGACAUUUGUGUGCCUCUUUGUCAUGAAUAGUAUCAUUGAUCUCUAGGAUUCUACUAAAUCCAUGUAUUGGUCCAUGGUCAAGUCUUGUUAUUGGUCUGGUAGAUCGUCCUUCUUCAUAUGUGUCAUCUUGAUGCAACUGAUAGGAGUU
rnacentral:lncRNA from 1 species